rnacentral:miRNA from 1 species
GUGAGUAGUAUUCAGGCGUCGG